AUCGCUUCUCGGCCUUUUGGCUAAGAUCAAAGUGUAGUAUCUGUUCUUAUCAGCUUAAUAUCUGAUACGUCCUGCAUCGCUUCUCGGCCUUUUGGCUAAGAUCAAAGUGUAGUAUCUGUUCUUAUCAGCUUAAUGCUGGCAAGGUCGGAUACAAAACACUAGAUACGCGAUGUAUUUUCUUUAGUCAUU